UACUCUCACGCCCAAAGGUUUUCGAACCGGAGGGACUGUGGACUUGGACGCCUGCCGCUUUGUCGUGGCACGUCUCAAAUGCCUGAGUGUGACCGGCUUGCAAAAGUGUCAUCUGGUGUGAUAAGCAUCUUCACUGGAGCAUUGGGACCCUCUCAGAGGAACCCGCACUGAGCUCGCCCACGGUCGGCUUCGAACCGUCCUCUGGACAAUCUUGACA
rnacentral:misc_RNA from 1 species